rnacentral:lncRNA from 1 species
CAACAGUCACUCUUGUGUUAGCAAUACUGUCUCUAAGCUUGCCAUCUCAAAUCUCAGCUGAUACCUACUUGUACUCAUCACCUCCUCCUCCCAAGAAGCCCUAUUAUUAUCACUCUCCUCCACCACCUUCACCUCCUCCACCUAAGCCAUACUACUAUCAUUCACCACCACCACCUUCACCUCCUCCACCCAAGCCAUACUACUAUCACUCACCACCACCACCUUCACCUCCUCCACCUAAACCAUACUACUAUCACUCACCACCACCACCUUCACCUCCUCCACCUAAACCAUACUACUAUCACUCACCACCACCACCUUCACCUCCUCCACCUAAACCAUACUACUAUCACUCACCACCACCACCUUCACCUCCUCCACCUAAGUCAUAUUACUAUCACUCACCACCACCACCACCCAAAAAGAAGCCAUACUACUACCAUUCUCCCCCACCACCUUCACCACCUCCUCCUAAGCCAUACUACUAUCACUCUCCCCCACCGCCUUCACCUCCUCCACCUACGCCAUACUACUAUCAUUCUCCCCCACCACCCUCACCACCUCCACCUAAGCCAUACUACUACCAUUCACCACCACCCCCACCGAAGAAGAAGCCUUACUACUACCACUCUCCACCACCACCUUCACCUCCUCCUCCAAAGAAGCCAUACUACUACCACUCCCCACCUCCUCCCAAGAAGCCCUACAAAUAUUCAUCUCCCCCACCUCCAGUGCACCCUUACCCUCAUCCUCACCCCCAUCCCCAUCCACACCCCCACCCUCACCCUCCCUACGUUUACAAAUCUCCUCCCCCACCCCCUAAGAAGCCAUACAAGUACCCAUCCCCACCACCUCCAGUCCACGUUUACCCUCACCCUCACCCGCAUCCACACCCUCACCCUCAACCUCACCCCCAUCCACAACCCCACCCUCCCUACAUUUAUCAGUCUCCUCCACCACCCCCUAAGAAGCCUUACAAGUACCCAUCGCCUCCACCUCCCGUCCACCCAUACCCCCAUCCCCAC